GCGGGGCUACCCGCUGAGUUU
rnacentral:rRNA from 1 species